UUUGUGGAGCGUGAGGAGUUAAACGCCUUCAUGCCUGCAUAUUCGUGCACUUUGGGUGUACUUGCCCGUGUGUAAGUUAACAUCAAUUUUGGUGGUCAUAAAAUGGCUGGAGGAAUGUAGCUUCGAUCUUGUAUUGAAGUGUUAUAGCCUUCGGUAGAUGUGACGAUCGGGAUUGAGGAUUGCAACGGAUACCCUUCGGGGCUACCUGUCUGAUCUCUGAUUGUUGCUCUGGUACCGAAAGCUUGCUUACGGUUAUCAAAGUCGAUGGUCAAUAGGUUAGAACGGGUUAAA
rnacentral:rRNA from 1 species